rnacentral:rRNA from 1 species
UACGAGGGGGGCAAAUGUUGUUCGGAAUCACUGGGCGUAAAGAGCUCGUAGGCGGUUUGUUGCGUCGGCUGUGAAAUCCCGAGGCUCAACCUCGGGUCUGCAGUCGAUACGAGCAAACUAGAGUGUUGCAGGGGAGACUGGAAUUCCUGGUGUAGCGGUGAAAUGCGCAGAUAUCAGGAGGAACACCGGUGGCGAAGGCGGGUCUCUGGGCAACAACUGACGCUGAGGCGCGAAAGCUAGGGGAGCAAACAGG